rnacentral:rRNA from 1 species
UACAGAGGGUGCGAGCGUUGUUCGGAUUCACUGGGCGUAAAGGGUGCGUAGGUGGCAUGUUAAGUUUGAUGUGAAAGCUCAGGGCUUAACCCUGAAAUGGCAUUGAAUACUAGCGUGCUGGAGGUUUGGAGGGGGGACUGGAAUUCUUGGUGUAGCAGUGAAAUGCGUAGAUAUCAAGAGGAACACCAGUGGCGAAGGCGAGUCCCUGGACAACACCUGACACUGAGGCACGAAAGCUAGGGGAGCAAACAGG